ACAUGCAAGUCGAACGAAGUAGCAAUACUUAGUGGCAGACGGGUGAGUAACAUGUAGGUAUCUUCCCUUUGGCCUGGAAUAACACGAGGAAACUUGUGCUAAUACCGGAUAAGUCUUUACGGAGAAAGCUUUAUGCACCAUUGGAUGAGCCUGCACUUGAUUAGUUAGUUGGUAGGGUAAUGGCCUACCAAGACUUUGAUCAAUAGCUGAUUUGAGAGGAUGAUCAGCCACAUUGGGACUGAGACACGGCCCAAACUCCUACGGGAGGCAGCAGUGGGGAAUCUUGCACAAUGGAGGAAACUCUGAUGCAGCGAUGCCGCGUGAGUGAAGAAGGCCUUUGGGUUGUAAAGCUCUUUCGUCGGGGAAGAAAAUGACUGUACCCGAAUAAGAAGGUCCGGCUAACUUCGUGCCAGCAGCCGCGGUAAUACGAAGGGACCUAGCGUAGUUCGGAAUUACUGGGCUUAAAGAGUUCGUAGGUGGUUGAAAAAGUUGGUGGUGAAAUCCCAGAGCUUAACUCUGGAACUGCCAUCAAAACUUUUCAGCUAGAGUUUGAUAGAGGAAAGCAGAAUUUCUAGUGUAGAGGUGAAAUUCGUAGAUAUUAGAAAGAAUACCAAUUGCGAAGGCAGCUUUCUGGAUCAUUACUGACACUGAGGAACGAAAGCAUGGGUAGCGAAGAGGAUUAGAUACCCUCGUAGUCCAUGCCGUAAACGAUGUGUGUUAGACGUUGGAAAUUUAUUUUCAGUGUCGCAGCGAAAGCGAUAAACACACCGCCUGGGGAGUACGACCG
rnacentral:rRNA from 1 species